GAGCACGUAGGUGGGUUUGUAAGUCAGAUGUGAAAGCCUUCUGUUCAACGGAAGAAUUGCAUCUGAAACUGCGAGUCUUGAGCGUAGGAGGGGAGAAUGGAACUUCUGGUGGAGCGGUGAAAUGCGUAGAUAUCAGAAGGAACGCCGGCGGCGAAAGCGAUUCUCUGGCCUAUUACUGACACUCAGUGUGCGAAAGCUAGGGGAGCAAACGGGAUUAGAUACCCCGGUAGUCCUAGCCGUAAACGAUGGGCACUAAGUAGAGGGGUUUU
rnacentral:rRNA from 1 species